rnacentral:rRNA from 1 species
UACGGAGGGUGCGAGCGUUGUCCGGAAUCACUGGGCGUAAAGGGCGCGUAGGGGGCUUCUCAAGCGCGCGGUGAAAGCCCGGGGCUCAACCCCGGGUCGGCCGUGCGGACUGGGAGGCUCGAGCACUGUAGGGGCGGGUGGAAUUCCGGGUGUAGCGGUGGAAUGCGUAGAGAUCCGGAAGAACACCGGUGGCGAAGGCGGUCUGCUGGGCAGUUGCUGACACUGAGGCGCGACAGCGUGGGGAGCAAACAGG